AGGGGUAUGGCCAAGUGGUUAAGGCACCGGCCUUUGACGCCGGUAUCGUUGGUUCGAGUCCAACUACCCCCGCCA
rnacentral:tRNA from 1 species